UCGACACGAGGAGGUAGUGACAAUAAAUAACAAUGCCGGGCUUUUGGUCUGGCAAUUGGAAUGAGAACAAUUUAAAUCCCUUAUCGAGGAUCAAUUGGAGGGCAAGUCUGGUGCCAGCAGCCGCGGUAAUUCCAGCUCCAAUAGCGUAUAUUUUAGUUGUUGCAGUUAAAAAGCUCGUAGUUGAAUUUCUGGUGAGCGAGAGCGGUCCGAUCAAUGAUUGGUGCUUGCUUUCGCUGGCCAUCCUUGGGUUUAGCCAGUCUGGCAUUAAGUUGUCGGGCUGGGGAUGCCCAUCGUUUACUGUGAAAAAAUUGAGUGUUCAAAGCAGACUUAUGUCGUUG
rnacentral:rRNA from 1 species